AUGAAUAGGUGAAACGAUCCAACAAGAACUGUGAGUACUUAAAUAACCCAAAUGGCUGUGACACAGGCAUUUAUAUAUAGAAGGAGAAAAAUACAGAGAGGAAGCGGACGUGCUUUAUUUGCUGUCACUGAUAACAGAUGAGAAAGGGCAGAUUACUGAGAGGAACAAACAAGAAAAUGUUUCUGCUUCGUCUGUUCUUUCUGAUCUCAGUGCUGAGCUGCACAGCAAACCAAGCUCGUCUGACUGUGAGUCCCAGCAGCUCUCAGCUCUAUAAAGGAGACUUUGUGUCUCU